rnacentral:rRNA from 1 species
UACGGAGGAUCCAAGCGUUAUCCGGAUUUAUUGGGUUUAAAGGGCGCGUAGGCGGGCUGUCAAGUCUGGGGUGAAAUCCCGCGGCUCAACCGCGGAACUGCCUCAGAUACUGACGGUCUCGAGGGGGGUAGGGGCGAGCGGAACUGAUGGUGGAGCGGUGAAAUGCGUUGAUAUCAUCAGGAACUCCGGUGGCGAAGGCGGCUCGCUGGACCCCUUCUGACGCUGAGGCGCG